rnacentral:rRNA from 1 species
CAGUAGCCACGGGAAUACAGAGGGUGCGAGCGUUAAUCGGAAUUACUGGGCGUAAAGCGUGCGCAGGCGGUGUUGUAAGACUGAUGUGAAAUCCCCGGGCUCAACCUGGGAACUGCAUUGGUGACUGCAACGCUGGAGUGCGGCAGAGGGGGAUGGAAUUCCGCGUGUAGCAGUGAAAUGCGUAGAUAUGCGGAGGAACACCGAUGGCGAAGGCAAUCCCCUGGGCCUGCACUGACGCUCAUGCACGAAAGCGUGGGGAGCAAACAGGAUUAGAUACCCCCGUAGUCCCUGUCUCUUAUAC